rnacentral:rRNA from 1 species
ACGGAAGGCAGCAGUCGGGAAUAUUGCACAAUGGAGGAAACUCUGAUGCAGUGACGCCGCGUACAGGAAGAAGGUCUUUGGAUUGUAAACUGUUGUCGAGAGGGAAGAAGCAAGACAGUACCUCUGGAGGAAGCUCCGGCAAACUACGUGCCAGCAGCCGCGGUAAUACGUAGGGAGCGAGCGUUAUCCGGAUUUAUUGGGUGUAAAGGGCGCGUAGACGGCUUAGCAAGUUAGUUGUGAAAUCCCAAGGCUCAACCUUGGAACUGCAACUAAAACUGUUUAGCUUGAGUAUGGGAGAGGAAAGCGGAAUUCCUAGUGGAGCGGUGAAAUGCGUAGAUAUUAGGAGGAACACCAGUGGCGAAGGCGGCUUUCUGGACCAAAACUGACGUUGAGGCGCGAAAGUGUGGGGAGCAAACAGGAUUAGAUACCCUGGUA